GACGAACGCUGGCGGCGUGCUUAACACAUGCAAGUCGAACGGGCCUGCCUGGCUUUGGUUGGGUGGGUGAGUGGCGAACGGGUGAGUAACACGUGAGUAACCUGCCCUCUUCUCUUGGAUAACUGCUUGAAAGGGCGGCUAAUACGGGAUGUUCUGGCUGCCUCGCAUGGGGUGGUUUGGAAAGAUUCGGCCUGGUUUUGGUUGUUUUGGUGGGGGAUGGGCUCGCGGCUUAUCAGCUUGUUGGUGGGGUGAUGGCCUACCAAGGCGGUGACGGGUAGCCGGCCUGAGAGGGUGGACGGUCACACUGGGACUGAGACACGGCCCAGACUCCUGCGGGAGGCAGCAGUGGGGGAUUUUGCACAAUGGGCGCAAGCCUGAUGCAGCGACGCCGCGUGAGGGAUGGAGGCCUUCGGGUUGUGAACCUCUGUCGCCGGUGAUGUAGGCUCUGCUUUGUGGGUGGGGUGGACGUAG
rnacentral:rRNA from 1 species